GAAACUGCUAAGAAUUCAGGAGUUGCUAAGGAAGAAUUAAUUCAGAAUUGCUCAUGAUAUCAGGGCCAAGCACAGCUGUAUAUACUCCAGUUCACACCUCAUUUGCAAUGGAGACAGUUUCCUGCAAGCCAUGUAUCGAGGCCAAGAACAAGUGGUUGCACCAAACAUAUUUUCUAUUAAAGAGAUUUCAGUCUUCCUCUAUAGCACUCAAGCUGCUUCAGAGGAGGAGUACCCCUGUGAUCAGACACCCAUUCCCACUGUGAUUCUGUGGGCACCAGCAGCUGCUGCUUUUUAGAAUUGUCCAGCGCUUCUUGGUAGGGUUUGCGUCGGGAUAGUGCUGUGCAUUCUCUCCUCACCUUUGUGGCACCAACCAGGAAUGGAUGAAGUUAGAGAAGGCUGACACACACAUUAAUGUCCACAGAGGGGUCACAGAAUAAAGUGGUGGUUUUCUUUGGGCUGAAGCUGAUG
rnacentral:lncRNA from 1 species